UUUCCAGGUUCAUCAGGACAAAUCGUCCUGACUCAGUCUCCUGGAUCUCAGUCUGUUGUUCCAGGACAGGCUGUCUCUCUCAGAUGUAAAACCAGUACAAGUGUUAGCUGGCUCCAGUGGUACCUUCAGAAACCUGGAGAAGCUCCUAAACUCCUGAUUUAUUAUGCUACAACUCGUCAGUCUGGAGUUCCAGAUCGUUUUAGUGGAAGUGGAUCUGGGACUGACUACACUCUGACCAUCAGUGGAGUUCAGGCUGAAGAUUCAGGAGUUUACUACUGUCAGCAGGGUGACAGCUUCCCGU